GUCUGUUUGUAGUUAUAAAGAGUCUAACCUGCCCCCUGAUUAUUAACAAUUAAAGGGCCGCGGUAUUAUGACCGUGCAAAGGUAGCAUAAUCAUUAGAUUUUUAAUUGGAAUCUUGUAUGAAUGGUUGGACGAAGGAAAAACUGUCUUUAAAUUAAAGUUUGAAUUUAACUUUUAAGUGAAAAGGCUUAAAUAUUUUAAAGGGACGAUAAGACCCUAUAAAACUUUACAUUAAAUUAUAUUUAGUUAAAUUUUAAAUAAAGGUUUAGUAUAAUUAUUUGUUAUAUUGGGGAGAUAGGAGUAGAAUUAUUUUUAACUGCUUUAUAGUUAAACAAUUAUUAGUGAGAGAUAAAGAUCCUUUAUAAAGAUUGUAAAAUUAAGUUACUUUAGGGAUAACAGCGUUAUUUUUUUAGAGAGUUCUUAUCGAUAAAAAAGAUUGCGACCUCGAUGUUGAAUUAAAAUAUCUAUAUAAUGUAGGAGUUAUAUUAGAAGGUCUGUUCGACCUUUAAAAUUUUACAUGAUUUGAGUUCAAACCGGUGUGAG
rnacentral:rRNA from 1 species